rnacentral:lncRNA from 1 species
GUCGAGGGAGUUCUCACUAAAAAUUUCGGCAGCAUAACACAUUGGGAAGAAUCGCAUGCACAAUGGCAGUACAAAUUUAUUCCACAUAAGAUGAAGCUGGCUUGCUCAUUCCAAAAUUACAUUCAUGAAGCUUAACCCAUUCCAUACGAAACAGAGGAACUUCCCUACAAAUUUACACAGCCAGCAUAUGUCUACCAAAAAAGAAGAAAGAAUGUACAGAAGUUCGUCCCAACAAGCAAAUGUUCAGAACUGCAACUUCGCAUCCUCAAUUACACUCGGCACCAUCGACAUCCUUCCGUUCAGUCUGUUGGCAUCUCAAAGAAAAAUCCCAACUAAACAACAAGUCCAACAAGAUUGGCAUCUUUGGCAUACCGCUCCGACUGAAUAACUCAUUUCAUUGCAAAGUCCAUGGCUGCGAACAACAAAUAAACAAGGAGUAGUUGUCAUCAAUAUUAACAGUAGCCAAUAGUUUGGCAACACGAUGAAACAAACAAUGCACAAGAAAGCCACUAAGCAACAACAUAGCCAAGUAGCCAAAGAACUAAAUUCGGACAGCCACUAUGGCAUCAUCCAGCAACCUAAAGUGCAUGAUGCCAAAUGAAACUAGUUCUUCACAAACACUAUGGGAACACAAGGUGCAAUAGAGAGAUUCUAUUAGGCGUAGUAGUUUCCCUUGCCCAAAUUUUCAAUAAAAGCCUAGGCAAAAACAUAAAAAAGCACUAUCAAAACUCAGAAGUCAUUCUGUCACAUAGCAUCAUCUUUGACAAACUAGUAGCCACAAAAUUACUACAACAUCACCAUCGAACUCCACACCUACA